rnacentral:rRNA from 1 species
ACUACGGGUGGCUGCAGUGAGGAAUAUUGGUCAAUGGGCGGAAGCCUGAACCAGCCAAGUCGCGUGAGGGAUUAAGGCCCUGCGGGUCGUAAACCUCUUUUGCCGGGGAGCAGAGGUCCGGACGUGUCCGGGCCGGGAGAGUACCCGGAGAAAAAGCAACGGCUAACUCCGUGCCAGCAGCCGCGGUAAUACGGAGGAUGCGAGCGUGAGCCGGAUUUAUUGGGUUUAAAGGGUGCGUAGGAGGGCAUUUAAGUCGCCGGUCAUAUGUCGGGGUUCAACCCCGGCCUGCUGUCGGAACUGGGUGCCUUGAGUGGGCGAGAAGUAUGCGGAAUGCGUGGUGUAGCGGUGAAAUGAAUAGAUAUCACGAAGAACCCCGAGUGCGAAGGCAGCAUACCGGCGCCCUACUGACGCUGAGGCACGAAAGUGCGGGUAUCGAACAGGAUUAGAUACCCUUGUAGUC